AUUGAUUUCUUCAAAAUGGCGUUAACUCGUCUACAUCUGACCUUCAUUGUGGCGAUUAUCGGUCCUCUCAGCUCCAGCACAGUAUCCAGUGACCAACCAAUACCAAAAAAAGUCAUGAAAGGAAAAUCUGUUGAGCUGGAAACACAAAAUAACUUGUCAUUUGAUCAUUUUGAAUGGAUAAAAGAUAAAUCAGAGAUUGUAGUCUCAUAUGAUUCUAAAACAGGAAACACUGUAGCUUCCCAUGAGAGAGUGGAUUUUAAUAAACAAACACUUUCUCUAACAAUAAAGAACACACAGGAGACAGACAGUGGACUCUACACUGCUAGAGCAAGUGGAGAAUCAGAUACUACCAUCAGUCUAUAUAAUGUAACUGUUGUAUCCAGUGACCAACCAAUACCAAAAAAAGUCACGAAAGGAAAAUCUGUUAAGCUGGAAACACAAAAUAACUUGUCAUUUGAUCAUUUUGAAUGGAUAAAAGAUAAAUCAGAGAUUGUAGUCUCAUAUGAUUCUAAAACAGGAAAUACUGUAUCUUCCCAUGAGAGAGUGGAUUUUAAUAAACAAACACUUUCUCUAACAAUAAAGAACACACAGGAGACAGACAGUGGACUCUACACUGCUAGAGCAAGUGGAGAAUCAGAUACUACCAUCAGUCUAUAUAAUGUAACUGUUGUAGGUACAAGCAGUCAAGGAUCAACUACAGAAUCUGUUUCUCUCACUUGGAUUAUA